rnacentral:rRNA from 1 species
AUUGAACGCUGGCGGCAGGCCUAACACAUGCAAGUCGAGCGGAGCGGCGGACGGGGGCGUAAUGCCUAGGAAUCUGCCUGGUAGCGGGGGAUAACGUUCGGUAACGGGCGCUAAUACUGCAUACUAUCAGAUGAGCCUAGGUCGGAUUAGCUAGUUGGUGGGGUAAAGGCCUACCAAGGCGAUGAUCCGUAACUGGUCUGAGAGGAUGAUCAGUCACACUGGAACUGAGACACGGCCCAGACUCCUACGGGAGGCAGCAGUGGGGAAUAUUGGACAAUGGGCGAAAGCCUGAUCCAGCCAUGCCGCGUGUAUGAAGAAGGUCUUCGGGUUGUAAAGCACUUUAAGUUGGGAGGCGUUACCAGCAGAAUAAGCACCGGCUAACUACGUGCCAGCAGCCGCGGUAAUAC